rnacentral:rRNA from 1 species
CCUACGGGAGGCAGCAGUGAGGAAUAUUGGACAAUGGGCGCGAGCCUGAACCAGCUAAUCAGCGUGAAGGAUGACUGCCCUACGGGUUGUAAACUUCUUUUAUAAAGGAAUAAAGUGAGGCACGUGUGCCUUUUUGUAUUUACUUUAUGAUUAAGGAUCGGCUAACUCCGUGCCAGCAGCCGCGGUAAUACGGAGGAUCCGAGCGUUAUCCGGAUUUGUUGGGUUGAAAGGGAGCGUAGAUGGGUUGUUAAGUCAGUUGUGAAAGUUUGCGGCUCAACCGUAAAAUUGCAAUUGAUACUGGCAGCCUUGAGUACAGUUGAGGGAGGCGGAAUUCGUGGUGUAGCGGUGAAAUGCGUAGAUAUCACGAAGAACUCCGAUGGCGAAGGCAGCUUACUAAACUGCCACUGACAUUGAUGCUCGAAAGUGUGGGUAGCAAACAGGAUUAGAUACCCCUGUAGUC